UACGUAGGGUGCAAGCGUUAAUCGGAAUUACUGGGCGUAAAGAGCUCGUAGGCGGUUUGUCGCGUCUGCUGUGAAAACCCGAGGCUCAACCUCGGGCCUGCAGUGGGUACGGGCAGACUAGAGUGCAGUAGGGGAGACUGGAAUUCCUGGUGUAGCGGUGAAAUGCGCAGAUAUCAGGAGGAACACCGAUGGCGAAGGCAGGUCUCUGGGCUGUAACUGACGCUGAGGAGCGAAAGCAUGGGGAGCGAACAGG
rnacentral:rRNA from 1 species